AGGUAGCAUUGUCAGUUCUUUCCACACAUUUUUGCAGUGAAGACAGUUCCGCGCAAAGACAAAAUUCCACAAGUAACUAUGAAUAGGAUUAUGGUGGUGAUAAAAUACCAGGGCAAAACAAGGCAAGGCAACAAAAAUACUGAAAGUAAAUAUAAAGGUAAAACCAGAAACUUUUCUUUUUGGUUUAAUGGAAAAAAGACUUGGACAAAAUGAUGGAACUUCAAUGUUAUAUACGCUGACUGCAGCAAGGCUAGUUUAUGCACAAACAUGUAAGGACAUUUCGAUCUCCACAAUGGCGGAAUGGCUUCAAAAGUUGAUGGAGUUAGCAGAGAUGGCUAAAUUGACUCCUUUGAUGAAAGAAAAAGACAUAAGUCCUUUUGUUUCUACUUGGAAACCCUUUCUGGACUUCUGCACUUCUAGGCGGCUGGGCUAGAAGAUCUCCAAGGUCCCUUCCAACUCUGGAAUUCAGCUUCUAAGUGGCUUUUAUGGCCUCCGACAAAUGUCUUUUGGGGGUUUUAUCUUCCAGCCUAUUAUUAAAUGGUAAAUAUAGAAUCUUUCUUCGAACAACAAGAGCAAGUACAACAAAAAGAACAAUUACAAAAACAACAACAAUAACAAGACGCAGAAAGUUCCUUGGGGGAAAGUGGCUCAUCGCUGGUCUUCGCUGCUGGGUCGGAUUCCGCCGUCCAUCGCCGUC